AACCUCACCCCCCCUCCCCCCGCUCAUCUCUCUCUUUCUCCUCCAUUAAUCCUCCAUUGAAGAGACCUUCAAAGCUUCAUAUAUCAUCUCUACACCAAAAAUCAUCCAUAGAAAUCAAACUCUACACCUCUAUAUCCUUGAAAUCAAGAUUUAUUAGAAAGAUUUUCCAAGCUAGAGUCAAGAGGGAAGGAUUUUCAUUUUCUCUCUAAAUCUUUGAAUACGAGCGAAGGACGGAAGUAUGUCACCUCGACUAUAUCAAGAGCUUGAGCUAAAGUCUUCAGGUGGGCAUUAUUUUGAAUAUACCUAUUAUAUGAGUUUUCUGAACUAAAAUGAUGAUGAUGUAUAUGAGUUUCUUAAAUGCUUUGACAUGAAAUGAUGUUUGAAACUAGUUGACUUGUCAAGUUUUGAUGAUGAUGAGCUUGUAUGUUACCCUCUACUGAUGAGACGAAUUCGGUUCUGCCACAAGCGAGAUUUUGUGCACAGAGGUGACUGUGAGCCGUCUAUCGGGUCAGCCGGUCACGGUACUUGAGAGGGAGGCCUACUUCUCAGUACCUUUGAUGAUGAUGAGUUGUAGAUGUGGUACAUACAUGAUGGAUGUUUAAACUGCGCAGUUAUUUAUUAUGACGUUAUGAAUUGUGAAAUUGCAUGCACAGGUUCUUUUAUACUAAAACCCCUGUGAGUUGCUUAUGGCGGGCAAGUUCAAUUUAUAGCUCUAAGAGCAAGUUUCUUGUUUUUCGGCAUAUGUCCACUGAGUAUUCUGUACUUAUACCCUGCAUGUAUUUCUAAACGUGCAGGAUAAGCGAUGAGUGAGAUUGGUCUGGUGCUGGUGGGGACAUGUUUCGAAUGAUGUUUUCUUGACUGUACUUCUGUUUUCUACGGUCGAGUCUUGAUGUAGAGUUAUUUUGGAUUUGAAUCAAGUAAUAUACUCUCGGUUAUAUGUCUUCAUAUAUAUAAUCUGUUUAC